AGGAGGAUGCAGCAACAAGGCACCACCUUGAAAAGAAAUAUCAGCUCUCAGCAGACAUGAAUCCUACCAGCCCCUUGAUCUUGGACUUCCCCUCCUCCAGAACUUGCUGGUGAUGGAACCCAGGGCCUUGAACUUCUCAGGCAAGCAAGUCUACCACUGAGACACACCACUGAGUCCUAUCAAUUCAAAAGAUUCCCAGCCUGCAGUAUCAUGCUGUUCACCAUAGAGACCUGAGGAGCCCCCUAUCUCAUUGGUAUCAUAUUUACAAAUGAACCCUUAAAGUGGAUUAUUUUGCAGAUGGCUGAUCUCAUCUAUUCAAUGCUGAUUCUAUUAGUUCCAAUUUCAGAAUGUGGCAUUUUCUGACUUUGUCCCCUUAAGCACAAAUAAAAAGUAUGGAUUUUUUGUUUUGUUUUGUUUUCAGAAGUAAAAAAAUACUAGGUAUGCUGGCAGAAGAGUAAGAAA